UUUCCCAUUUGACUACCAUAUUUCCUCCUAAGAGUUUAGUAGCUAUGCAUAUGGGGUAAAUUAAAAUUGCCAUGACCUGAAAAGGAGGAUUCAUUUGUGCCCUCCUUCUAUAUGAAAUGGCUGAACAGAAAAAA